rnacentral:rRNA from 1 species
GUGAGGAAUAUUGGACAAUGGGCGCAAGCCUGAUCCAGCCAUGCCGCGUGCAGGAAGACGCAUCUAUGGUGUGUAAACUGCUUUUGUACGGGAAGAAACACUCCCUCGUGAGGGAGCUUGACGGUACCGUAAGAAUAAGGAUCGGCUAACUCCGUGCCAGCAGCCGCGGUAAUACGGAGGAUCCAAGCGUUAUCCGGAAUCAUUGGGUUUAAAGGGUCCGUAGGCGGUUUAAUAAGUCAGUGGUGAAAGCCCAUCGCUCAACGAUGGAACGGCCAUUGAUACUGUUAGACUUGAAUUACAAGGAAGUAACUAGAAUAUGUAGUGUAGUGGUGAAAUGCUUAGAUAUUACAUGGAAUACCAAUUGCGAAGGCAGGUUACUACUUGUGGAUUGACGCUGAUGGACGAAAGCGUGGGGAGCGAACAGGAUUAGAAACCCCGGUAGUCC